rnacentral:rRNA from 1 species
CUACGGGACGCAGCAGUGGGGAAUCUUGCACAAUGGAGGAAACUCUGAUGCAGCGAUGCCGCGUGAGUGAAGAAGGCCCUUGGGUUGUAAAGCUCUUUUGUCGGGAAAGAUAAUGACUGUACCCGAAGAAUAAGGUCCGGCUAACUUCGUGCCAGCAGCCGCGGUAAUACGAAGGGACCUAGCGUAAUUCGGAAUUACUGGGCGUAAAGCGCGCGUAGGCGGUUAAGUAAGUUAAUUGUGAAAGCCCAAAGCUCAACUUUGGAAUUGCAAUUAAAACUACUUAGCUAGAGUUUAUCAGAGGAAAGCGGAAUACAUAGUGUAGAGGUGAAAUUCGUAGAUAUUAUGUAGAACACCAGUUGCGAAGGCGGCUUUCUGGGAUAACACUGACGCUGAGGUGCGAAAGUAUGGGUAGCGAAGAGGAUUAGAUACCCUAGUAGUC